rnacentral:rRNA from 1 species
UACAGAGGGGGCAAGCGUUAUUCGGAAUUAUUGGGCGUAAAGGGCGCGUAGGCGGCUUGGCAAGUGGAUGGUGAAAUCCCUCGGCUUAACCGAGGAACUGCCGUCCAAACUGCUUUGCUUGAGACCGGGAGAGGUGAGUGGAAUUCCCAGUGUAGCGGUGAAAUGCGUAGAUAUUGGGAGGAACACCAGUGGCGAAGGCGGCUCACUGGACCGGUACUGACGCUGAUGCGCGAAGGUCAGGGGAGCAAACGGG